rnacentral:rRNA from 1 species
AGAGUUUGAUCAUGGCUCAGAAUGAACGCUGGCGGCGCGCCUAAUACAUGCAAGUCGAGCGAGAAGACGUAGCAAUACGUUUGUAAAGCGGCGAACGGGUGAGGAAUACAUGGGUAACCUACCCUCGAGUGGGGAAUAACUAGCCGAAAGGUUAGCUAAUACCGCGUACGCUCCUUGGACUUCGGUUCAGGGAGGAAAGCGCUACCGUGGGUAGCGCGCUCUUGGAUGGGCUCAUGUCCUAUCAGCUUGUUGGUGAGGUAACGGCUCACCAAGGCUUCGACGGGUAGCUGGUCUGAGAGGACGACCAGCCACACUGGCACUGCGACACGGGCCAGACUCCUACGGGAGGCAGCAGUAAGGAAUAUUGCGCAAUGGGCGAAAGCCUGACGCAGCGACGCCGCGUGGGGGAUGAAGGUCUUCGGAUUGUAAACCCCUUUCGGGAGGGAAGAUGGAAUGGGGUAACCCAUUUGGACGGUACCUCCAGAAGCAG